CAGGUAGGGAGGAGCGGUUCUUUCUGCUGCGUGCCCUGCAGGCCAAGCCCCAGCCCCAGCCUCAGCCUCAGCGCAGAGGAGGAGGGAUGGGGGUUGCUGGGACUUAACAGCCAUCAGAGGCAGGCUCCUGUAUUAGUGCAUUCAGUGACAAGAGUUCCUACCUGCCACAGUGUGAACAUAGUGGUAUACACUUUCUCCAGCUGCCGGCAACCCCUGAGUAGUGGGAGAAAACACCUGGGAUCUCUACAGGUGGCCAAGUCGCAUACACUUCCCAUAGGACUGAAGUGUUCAGCCUGUAUUCAAAUGGGAGGGUGCCAAGGCUUGGGGAAUGCCAACGGGAGACACGGUGUGGGGCCUUCUGAGGAAGUGAGAAGUGAGCCUCCUGGCUGUGGGAGAAGAAUUGUAACCAUCCACCACCCUUUGUCAGAUGUCCAAAGGCACAGAAAACCUGCUCCUCCCAGCUGGGCUGUGUUGAAGGAUUUGGUGCUCUUUCUCUCAUCCAGACUCCCCUGGUCUCCUGCCAGAAGCUGACUCAGGCGGAUUCUGGGGACAGCGAUGUGGGACACUGCGCCAGGUGAACGUAACAUCACACGGGGGUGGGAAUGAAGCAUCGUGGUGGGCCUCUGCUCAUCAGAAGCUGUUUCCCAGGGAACAGUGUGCUGGAACAGCCAGUUGUGUUCCAUGAGACAGUGUUAUUUGGAAAGAGAGGCGUGUGUAAGCAUUUACCCCAGAUGCAGCCAUCAUUUCCAUCCUACUUAACCCCACCCUUCGGCUCUCCUUCAUCUGCUCAGCUUCUGUGAGAACUCGAACAUCUUACAGGAGAAGCCCAGCUGAGAACCACUCUUAAGUUUGUCAAGAAUCUGCCUGGGCAAUCUCAACUGAGAAAAAACAUUGGCCUGGGCUACAGAAAGGUAAAUAAAUAAUCUGCAAAUCAUCAAAACAAGAGCAAAAAACCUAACACUCCAAGACAUGCUUUGACAAUUAGGGAAAGAACUUCAAAAACCAAAGCAUCAAAGAGCUACCAGUGCAUAGCUGCCAAACUCACAAAGGCGAAGAAUGAUCACAGCACUUGACCCAGUGGGGAGGAAGCCACUUCCAGACCACAGGGGGGUGAGGGUAAAUGAAGAAGGCUUUUCAGGAAAGCAAUAUGGGAACAAGUCUCAGGAUCCUCACCCAUGUUUACGCUUCUCACAUCUGUGUUUGCUCAUGUAAUAUUCUGACUUGAGGAAGUUAAUUGAAGUACAAGAAAGUAUUUACCCAUAAAGACAUUUGCUGCAAUGUUAUUCAUGACUGUAAACAAACACAAUACCCUGUGAACAACCU